rnacentral:misc_RNA from 1 species
GAUGAAGAACGCAGCGAAAUGCGAUACGUAAUGUGAAUUGCAGAAUUCAGUGAAUCAUCGAAUCUUUGAACGCAUAUUGCGCUCUCUGGUAUUCCGGAGAGCAUGCUUGUUUGAGUAUCAGUAAACACCUCAACUUCCAUAUCUUUUUUGAAAUGGGAGUUGGACUUGAGUGAUCCCAACGCUUUUCCUCACCGAAAAGUGGCGGGUUACUUGAAAUGCAGGUGCAGCUGGACUUUUCUCUGAGCUAUAAGCAUAUCUAUUUAGUCUGCCUAAAAAACAGAUUAUUACCUUUGCUGCAGCUAACAUAAAGGAGAUUAGUUCUUGUGCUGACUGAUGCAGGAUUCACAAAGACAGGCUUCGGCCGACUUUGUAAACUCGAUCUCAAAUCAAGUAAGACUACCCGCUGACCUUAAGCAUAUCAAUAAGCGGAGGA